GGCCAUACCACUCUGAACACACCUAAUCUCAUUCGAUCUUGGAAGCUGAGCAGGUUCUGGCCUGGUUAGUACUUGAAUGAGAGACAUGAUGUGAUAGAAAAGGCC
rnacentral:rRNA from 1 species